UUGUAAUUAUAAUGCCUAUUUUACAGACAAGAAGAGAUUCAGAAGCAAAGUGACUUCUGGGGUCACACAGCAAGUAUGAAACAGAACCAGAAUUUUGAUUCCUUUUUUUUGUUUUGUUUUGUUUUAGAGAGAUGGGGUCUUGCUAUGUUGCCCAUGCUGGUCUUGAACUCCUGGCCUCAAGUGAUUCUCACACUUUGGCCUCCCAAAACACUGGGAUUACAGAUGUGAGCCACCGCACCUGGCCAGAACCAAGAUUUGAACUUCACUUUCUAAUUCAAAAUCCAGGGCUAUUUUCACCAAAAUGCAGCUCCUUUUUCUCACCAACAAUAGAUACACAUCUCUGAGUACUUUAGACACACGUAUCAUUUAGGAAAAUGACCUACAAAGGAAAGAUAUAUCCACCAUAAUGUUCUCAAAAUAAGAGCUGAAAAGCGUGAAUAUAGAGGAACAACUAGUACCUGGCACAGCACCUCAUACUAAGCAAGUGAUCCACAAAGAAUAAAUGAAGAGAAAGAACCAUCACAUGCAUUCCCACAAGUAGCCUUAGGAGAGUAAUCAGCAACAUUUAGUUCAGAGAGUUCAGUACAUCCCAUAGAUGCCAAUGGCAAGCCAAAAGCAUGAUCAAAAAUAGGAAAAAGAGGGGAAAACUAGGAUAACGUAGGGAAAAGAAGACACAGCACAGCAGGAAAAGAGGAGAAACAACAAAAUAUGCGUAACCAUUGGGGGAAACUGGGUGAAGGGUAAACAAGAACUCCCUGUACAUUUUUUGCAACUUCUUGUGAAUCUAUAAUUAUUUCACAAUAGGAAGUUAAAGAAAACAAAAGAAGAAAAAAGUGGAAAGACCUGUCUAUAGUUCCUUCGGUGGGCCAUCUAACACCAAAAGAGGGCAAUUCUAAUUCACACAGAGUUCUUAACCUCUAGGGGGUUAACUUAACUCUAUAAUCUCCCGCAAAACCUUUCUUAAGGUUCUGUAACAUGCAUUUUAAUAGAGUAAGUUUUGAUGCUUUGAUGACUUUCCUUUUAUUUUUCUUUUUGAAAUUUUUUAACAUAGUUCCUAGCGGAGUG
rnacentral:lncRNA from 1 species